rnacentral:lncRNA from 1 species
AGUAACCCCGAGACGGUUGCGGCCCACAGGAUGCCUUCCUGUAAUCGCUAAAGUGAUGGGAAGACAAAAAUUCCCGGGAUGUGGGCUUCCGGCCAAGUUAUUAACGCUACUGAACCGACGCGUUCCCUUAAAUGGGUCAACGUCUCUAGGCCCGGGAAAUAAGUGAGGCCCUUUCUCCAGCGGAGCCCCGGGACGGGCCGUCGCUCCCACCCUUUCGCUUUCCUUGGGUUUAGCGCCGCCAGGCCGCCCCCAUCCGGUCCCCCGCACCUUCACAGUCUCCUGGCCGCAGCGCCCGGCUGUCAGGCAGCACGCUCAGGGCCAGCGCUACCGCCAGCCCGCGCGUAGCCCACAUCCUCCUCAGCCGUCUCCACCACCGCCGCAGCCGCGCGAAUGAACCGCACCCGGCGCGGUGUUCCGCCUAGUGGGCUGGAACAGAAACCUGAGCUUCCCAUUGGUGUGCGAUCCCCGCGCCCACCCAUAUGCUGCAUCCUCAUUGGUCCACGUGCCCAGGAGCCCAGACCGGCGGCUCCACGCUACCCUCCCUCAUUGGCUGCUGCUGUCUGGGACCUAGACAGUUGUCGGUUGCUGAUUGAGCCUGGGCGGUCCAUAGGGGUGCGGAGGGAAGGUGCACGGGCCGCCAUGUUGGGUUAGGGCAGCUGCUUUGGCUGCUUACCCGGAACCCUCUCAAUCUAUUGACUCGACCCGAAUGCCGAGUCUUGGUUCCACACCCACUCCUCCCGACGCCCGGACUCGUAGAGCAGCAUUUCUGGCGCCACCCUAUAGCCAGUAGGAUGGGCGGCGGGAGCAUGGAUCAGAAGCAGUUCCUUGUUUUGAACUACCACGUGGAUUGCCGAGCCAAUCAAGGGGAGCGUCCACUUUGAUUCGCCGGCUUGCUCAGACCCCGCUUUAACCUGGGUCAGACGGCAGAACCUCUUAAACGAAAGGCUCUCGGCCUGCCUAGUCGGCUCCCGUUCUGGGCCUCUGAGGACCUCGCGACAAGGCUGCGAGCAGAGGCGUUGGUCUAGCUUCCAAAUGGAGGCUAUGGGAUCUUGGGAGGUUUUGUUCUCCACUCUUGGAGACACGAGGAUGGGAACUGGAGACAUUACCGCCUGGACUGCCCUAAUGCUAAGUGCAAGGGCUUUGGCCACUCGCCCUGGAAGGCGGAAUAUGGAGAGCGGCCGACUGACUAAGUGCAGAAAAGUAUCUGGAGCUAAAAGGGCUUGGAGCCCGGCGACAAGGGUUUGAGAGGGGGCACUUAUGCUCCCAUUCAGUGAAAUCAGUGGAUCAAUAUCAGGUAUUCAUCUUUAAUUCACAUCACAGCAGUCAAGGGAUGGAGGUGGGGGAGUCAGUUGCCAGAUAUUUACAUCUAAAAGUCACAUUUUUUGUUGGAUUUAUAACAUGCUACCACAAUAUAUACAGUAAAAUGCCUCUUGGGACACUGGCACAAAUUUUUUUCUUUAACUUUUCUGGUACAGGUAAGAUAAUUUUAAGUCAGUUUUUCUUUAGACAUGAAUACACAAAAGAAAUGGUUAGAAGUUUUCUUGUUUUAAAUAAGCACAGAAUGCCAGAGGUUAAAAACACAUUUAUAGGGCUUAUUACCAAUUAGACACACUCUAUACAUUUUUUUUUUGCUCAAAUUCCUGUACAAAUACACAGCAUUCAAAUAGGUAUUUACAAAUACGCUUUAAAGAAUGAAAAUCAGUAUUUCACAAUCUUUUCAAAGGAUUCUGAUCUCUGACCUCCCAUUUCCCUCACACUGGCUGGUUUUUCAAUAAAAAGUAUUCAGAAUAGGUCCAUUUCAUCCAGUUGGGGAAAAUGGAGAGAAGUAACACAAAUAUAUUUCACUUUGCAUAAAGCAAGGUCAAGGAACUUAACCCUACAUUCCCCUCCCUACCUCCUGUGCCAUCAAGUGGAGAAGGGAGAUGUCUGCAUGUGAUGACUGGCUGCCUCCGUGGACUGAGGUUCAGACGUGCCUGGAAACAAACCUAAAGCUGCCCUACCUAAGAAUCACAUUCCAAGCUAGACUUGACCCUCAUACCUGUGAACCCAGACGGUCCAGAAACAAGCUUACCAGUGAGUCUGGGCUCAGGAACAGGUGUGUGUGCCCUUGGUGCUGGGGCUAUUGGAUUGCCUACCUACAUCCUCAACAGUCUCCACUCUGCCUGAAUGAUCCUGAGGCUAUCAGAAAGCCCUACACUGUUGGUACCUGGGCCCCAACAUACUGUGAACGGAAAUGGGCCUUCUUUCUUUUCCUAUAGGUUAUUUGCUGGCAGUUCUAUUAAACUUGUUUCUAAGAG